rnacentral:rRNA from 1 species
GACGAAGGGGGCUAGCGUUGUUCGGAAUUACUGGGCGUAAAGCGCGUGUAGGCGGUUGUUCAAGUCAGGUGUGAAAGCCUUGAGCUCAACUCAAGAAAUGCACUUGAUACUGGAUAACUAGAGGACCGGAGAGGAUAGUGGAAUUCCCAGUGUAGUGGUGAAAUACGUAGAGAUUGGGAAGAACACCAGUGGCGAAGGCGGCUAUCUGGACGGUUUCUGACGCUAAGACGCGAAAGCAUGGGGGAGCGAAACAGG